ACUCCUACGGGAGGCAGCAGUGGGGAAUAUUGCACAAUGGGGGAAACCCUGAUGCAGCCAUGCCGCGUGUGUGAAGAAGGCCUUCGGGUUGUAAAGCACUUUCAGUAGGGAGGAAGGUAGUGUAGUUAACACCUGCAUUAUUUGACGUUAGCGACAGAAGAAGCACCGGCUAACUCCGUGCCAGCAGCCGCGGUAAUACGGAGGGUGCGAGCGUUAAUCGGAAUUACUGGGCGUAAAGCGCAUGCAGGUGGUUUGUUAAGUCAGAUGUGAAAGCCCGGGGCUCAACCUCGGAAUUGCAUUUGAAACUGGCAGACUAGAGUACUGUAGAGGGGGGUAGAAUUUCAGGUGUAGCGGUGAAAUGCGUAGAGAUCUGAAGGAUACCGGUGGCGAAGGCGGCCCCCUGGACAGAUACUGACACUCAGAUGCGAAAGCGUGGGGAGCAAACAGGAUUAGAUACCCUGGUAGGAUAGCGUAGUCGU
rnacentral:rRNA from 1 species